GCUGGGCAUGGUGGCGCAUGUCUGUAAUCCCAGCUACUCAGGAGGCUGAGGCAGGAGAAUUGCUUGAACCUGGGAGGCAGAGGUUGCAGUGAGCUGAGGUCGUGCCACUGCACUCCAGCCUGGGUGACAGAGUAAGACUCUGUCUCAA
ensembl:misc_RNA Metazoa_SRP Metazoan signal recognition particle RNA